GGUCUGGUGGCCGAAGCGAUAACGGCGCCGGUCUUCACUCGGCAGGACCAGGGUUCAAAUCCCAUCUAGACCG
rnacentral:tRNA from 1 species